UUUAUUAGAAACACAAAAUUGAACAUUAUUUGUAUAUUUCCAGACUACAUAGUCUGUUUUCUUUCUUUUUAUUUGUCCACAUUCGCAAUCACAUGUCUCAUUUAUGUUACAUUGCAUACAAAGAAUGUCAAACUGAUGAUAAACCAAAUGCUACAUUUGGCCUAUAUGAGACUCCGAUAUCAAUUUAUACGAAAUAAAUUUUGGAGUUCUCGUGUUUCAGAGAUCUCUGGUUACCUCACCAAAGCAUUGUACCGGCAUAAAUAUUGGACUGUGCAGCCCAGUGAAUUUUGGCCGAGAUUAAAGUAA